rnacentral:snRNA from 1 species
AGCUCGCUCUUUGCCAUUCAGGCUUUGAUCCGAUGUAGUAUCUGUUCUUCCGUAGGGUAACUCCUCGGACUCCAACACCGUUACCUUUUAUUUUUGGAUAUUCGGCCCCCUGCCACUAGCCAGAUGACUGCGUAUGUCUGGCGCCGGUGGGGAGCCACUGUGCCCGUCCUAUUGCACUUUUUGGAUGUGUGCGCGAGUUGCU